AGUGGCGGACGGGUGAGUAACGCGUGGGUAACCUGCCCUGUACAGGGGGAUAACAGUUAGAAAUGACUGCUAAUACCGCAUAAGACCACAGUACUGCAUGGUACAGUGGUAAAAACUCCGGUGGUAUGAGAUGGACCCGCGUCUGAUUAGGUAGUUGGUGAGGUAACGGCCCACCAAGCCGACGAUCAGUAGCCGACCUGAGAGGGUGAUCGGCCACAUUGGAACUGAGACACGGUCCAAACUCCUACGGGAGGCAGCAUG
rnacentral:rRNA from 1 species